UACGGAGGGUGCGAGCGUUGUCCGGAAUCAUUGGGCGUAAAGGGCGCGUAGGUGGCGGCUUAAGCGUGCGGUGAAAGCUCGGGGCUCAACCCCGAGUCGGCCGUGCGAACUGAGUCGCUUGAGCACUGUAGAGGCAGGCGGAAUUCCUGGUGUAGCGGUGAAAUGCGCAGAUAUCAGGAGGAACACCAAUGGCGAAGGCAGCUCGCUGGAACGGUACUGACGCUGAGACGCGAAAGCGUGGGGAGCAAACAGG
rnacentral:rRNA from 1 species